UGAGUCAAUUGUAUUGAGGUUUAAGGGACGAUGUGAAGAAUUUGCUAUUAACUCUUCUUGAUCCGCAAACGCUCUACAAAGCUAUUAGCCAAGCUAUGAAGUAUAAUAACCGCCUAUUCCAAUGUCGCCAAGAUCAACGUUCAAGACAACAUACGGUUUGCCACAUCCCAACUAUGUCGGCAAGCAGCGUGAAUUCACAUUCAG
rnacentral:lncRNA from 1 species